GAUGAACGCUGGCGGUAUGCUUAACACAUGCAAGUCGAACGGACUCUUUGGAGUUAGUGGCGGACGGGUGAGUAACGCGUGAGAAUCUGGCUUUGGGUUCGGGACAACCACUGGAAACGGUGGCUAAUACCGGAUGUGCCGAGAGGUAAAAGAGAAAUUGCCUGAAGAUGAGCUCGCGUCUGAUUAGCUAGUUGGUGAGGUAAAGGCUCACCAAGGCAGCGAUCAGUAGCUGGUCUGAGAGGAUGACCAGCCACACUGGGACUGAGACACGGCCCAGACUCCUACGGGAGGCAGCAGUGGGGAAUUUUCCGCAAUGGGCGAAAGCCUGACGGGGCAAUACCGCGUGAGGGAAGAAGGCUCUUGGGUUGUAAACCUCUUUUCUUAGGGAAGAACAAAAUGACGGUACCUAAGGAAUCAGCAUCGGCUAACUCCGUG
rnacentral:rRNA from 1 species